rnacentral:rRNA from 1 species
CGGURUUUWUUUUUUUUAGAGGAACUUGUUUWUUAAAUUGAUAAUCCACGAGUAGAAGAACUUAAUUUUUUUUUAUGUAUUGUUGUUGUAAAAUUAUAUUAAUAGAUAUUAAUUGAUAAAUUUAAUUAAAAUUAUAAUUCAAAUCAAAAUGUAGAAUAAUUAAGAGUUUAAUGAGUUACAAUUAAUUUAAUAAUUGGAAUUUAAAAAUUUAAUUUAUAGAUAAAAUUGGAUUAAAAGUAAAUCUAUAUAAAUAUAUAAAUGAAUAA